rnacentral:rRNA from 1 species
GUGGGGAAUCUUGCGCAAUGGGCGAAAGCCUGACGCAGCCAUGCCGCGUGAAUGAUGAAGGUCUUAGGAUUGUAAAAUUCUUUCACCGGGGACGAUAAUGACGGUACCCGGAGAAGAAGCUCCGGCUAACUUCGUGCCAGCAGCCGCGGUAAUACGAAGGGGGCUAGCGUUGCUCGGAAUUACUGGGCGUAAAGGGCGCGUAGGCGGACAGCUUAGUCAGAGGUGAAAGCCCAGGGCUCAACCUUGGAAUUGCCUUUGAUACUGGCUGUCUUGAGUUUGGGAGAGGUGAGUGGAACUCCGAGUGUAGAGGUGAAAUUCGUAGAUAUUCGGAAGAACACCAGUGGCGAAGGCGACUCACUGGCCCAAUACUGACGCUGUGGCGCGAAAGCGUGGGGAGCAAACAGGAUUAGAUACCCUUGUAGUCC